UACGUAGGGUGCGAGCGUUAAUCGGAAUUACUGGGCGUAAAGCGUGCGCAGGCGGUUUUGUAAGCCAGAUGUGAAAUCCCCGGGCUCAACCUGGGAAUGGCAUUUGGGACUGCAAGGCUGGAGUACGGCAGAGGAGACUGGAAUUCCUGGUGUAGCAGUGAAAUGCGUAGAUAUCAGGAGGAAGACCAGUGGCGAAGGCGGGUCUCUGGACAGUUCCUGACACUGAGAUACGAAGGCCAGGGGAGCAAAAGGG
rnacentral:rRNA from 1 species